UAACUCCUAACUUUGAGGACUAAAUAUGCAACACUCCCCCUCAAGUUGGGUUGUACAUGUUGUACAUGCCCAGCUUGGUAUACAAUCUUUCAAGGUUAAGACCUUGAAGAGCCUUCGUUAAAAUAUCUGCACACUACUCCCGAGAUGGAAUGUAUAUUACCUUUACUUCAAAAUUCUCUAUAUAUUACUUUUAUUUCAAAAUUCUCUAUCUUCUCUACAAUGAAGUGUCUAUCAAUCGUAACAUGCUUAGUUCAAUCAUGAUGAACUGGAUUCUUUGCAAUAUUGAUGGGUGCUUGUUUAUCACAUUUGAGCUUCACAGUCUUUCCAAAUUCCAUACCCAAUUUUGCCAUUACCCGCCUAAUCCAUACCCCUUCCUAAAUCAUAAUUACAAGUGCUCUUAACUCUGAUUUAGCACUGCUCUUGGAAACAAAAAAACUAUUUUUUACUUCUCCAAGUCACAAGAUUUCCCCAUACAAAGGAGUAAUAACUUGUAGUUGAUUUGCUAUCUAUAUGAUUCCCUGCCCAGUCUGCAUCAAAGUACAACAUUGAUACUUAAGAAUCUGGUAUACUGCAUCCAUGUGUUCCUCCAUCGUAUUGUUCAUGAACUGACUUACUGUGCUCACUGCAAAACCAAUGUAUGGCUGAGUAUGAGAAAGAUAAGUUUCCGUACCAGACAUUGGUAUCUCCCUUUAUCCACUAGAACUCCUUCUUCUUCACGCCUGAGGUUUUUUUUGAAGUCCAUUGGAGUGUUUGCUGGUCUAUAACCAAGCAUACCAAUUUCCUUUAGUAAUUCUAAGUUGUAUUUAAAUUGUGAAACAAAUAUACCUUUUCUUGAUUGAGCCACUUUCAUUCCUAGAAAGUAUCGAAGAAGACCAAAAUAUUUUACUUUAAAUUCUUUAGCUAAUGCCUAUUUGAUCCUUGCUACCUCUUCCAUAUAAUUUCCAAUUAGAAUAAUAUCAUCCACGUAGACAAUAUGAACAACCAACUUAUCUAUUGAGGAAUGUUUCACAAAUAAUGCGUGAUCAACUUGGCAUUGGAUAAAGUCAUGUCCUUUUACUAACUUUGAGAAUCGACCAAACCAUGCUUGUGGAGAUUACUUCAACCCAUAUAAAGAUUUCAACGGUUUAAUUUAAUUGUAAUUUACUUGACUUAGCAUGUAAGCUUGUGCCUGGUGCAGCAGUAGAGUGUUGUGUUAAAGUGUUGCUCAACAGCAAUUUUAACAUAUCUAGUUGUUCCUUGGUGAAGAGGCUAGAUUCAGUUGUGCACUGUUGUUCCAACUUGACAUUGGUUGCGUUUGCACAACUAUCUUGGGCUGAUCUAUUUGGCCUCCAAUCUGUGGUUUUUCGUGUAGCUUUCAACAUGCCUCCCUUAUAUGAAUAAGUUUAGAGUAAUGGUCACACCAAGGCUGCCCCUUUCUUAGCCAGCGAUUAUCCUUUAGUGUUGGAGACCUUGAGCUACAAGCAACAAAUACAGACCCAUUUGGGUUUGAAGGUGGCGGUUGAUUGCCUAACAUUACCUUCUUCCUACUUUAUUUUUGGCCAACUUUUGAAAAUGUCUCUCGAAGGCUGGGAAGAGCUUUUGUUCCCAUUAUUCUACCUUUAACAUCAUCUAAACCUUUAUUCAAACCAAGCAAAAAUUUAAAAGUUCUUUUUUGCUCCACUAUCUUACGAUAUAAAGCAUUAUUCUCCGGACACUUCCUCCUAUAUAACUCAAACAAAUCUAAUUGUUCCCAAUGAUGAAUUAGAACAUUAAAAUAUCGAGUUACCAUUAAUUCUCCUUAGCGGAGAUCAUGAAGAACUGUCUCCACCGCGAAUAUUUUUGAAAUAUUUCUAAAAUUAGAGUAAGUUUCCUUCACUGCCUCCCAUAUUUAUUGAGUCAUUUCAUAUAGGAGAAAGUUUUCACCAAUAUCCACGUUCAUAGAGUUUAUGAGACAUGACAUGAUUUGAUGAUUAUCGGCCUUUCAAUUCUUGCAGUUUAGAUCAGUUUUCUCAGGAAUUGGAACUUCUCCAAUCAAGUAAUCUUCUUUUCCUCUACCACACAUGAACAUUUAGACAGAUUGGAACCAUUAGAGAUAGUUUUGUCCAUUGAGUUUAUGACUUGUGAUGAGAAGAAACAGAUUCUCAGAUGUUCUAGAAUUUCCAAAAUUGGGUUGGACUAGAUUUUAGUUGGAAUGAGAAGAUGUCUCAGAGACAGAGCUGACUACUUUAUUCGCCAUUCCAGAUUUUGUUUUUCAAAUAGAAGAAAAAAUUAAGAUUGUUGGAAAAAUUUUAAGAAUUUUGGGAUGAGAGGGCGACGGUUAGGGUUUUUUUUCUUUUCAAAUUAUGUUAAUAUUACUUUAUUUUCUUUUCAAGCAAUAUAUGAUUCGGCUGUUAUGUGUUUUUUUUCUAAAUAUGUUAAUGCCCACCAUAUUUUUACUACAAACUAGGUUGAAAUGUGUGAAAAGCUCUUAUUUAAGCACUUUUGUAAUGGUUAGGCCCUUAUAUAACAAUUUUGAAAAUUUUGACCCUUAUGUAAGCAAUCCCUAAAAAAUUCCCAAAUAUAAGCAUUUAGCCUACUAUCUACUUACUUUUAAAGUGCAAUAAAUUGGAGGAAUAAUUCAUGUAACAUCCCUAAUAGCCCUGAGUCAAUAACCAUGUUAAAUCGAGAGGAAAUGUGUUAGAAUUUGAUAAGGUUAUAAAAUAGAAAUUAUCAUUAUUAGUUAAAGGUGAAGGUAGAUACUAAUGGUAAUUAAAAAGGCUUGUUUAUUGUGAGAAAUAAAUUCAGGAUAUUGACUAAAUUGUAAGAGAAUGAAAAGUAUUGGGGCAAGAGUAAGGAAAUUAAGAGUUAGAAUGAGUAGAUUGAGUUGAAAGAAAAAAUAGGAGGGGCUAGAGGUGGAAUUUUACCAAAAGAAAAUAUGGCUCAGAAUGGUAUUGUUGAAGAAGUUGAGGGACUAAGUGGGUAAUAUGUAAUUUAGAUAAUUAUGCAUGUUAAUGAUUAAGGACUAAAUUGGUAUAAAAGUAUGAUUGGUAAAUAUUUAUUAUUUUAAUUAUUAAAAUUACUAGAUUUUUAUUUUAGAAUUGUUUAGAAAAAUGAUGAUAUUCAUUCAUCUUUCCCCCAUUCUCAAGCCCCUCUCUCUUUUCUCCAUCUUUAAAAUUUUUAUAUUAUUUAUAAAUAGGUCCUUUUCACAGUUUCCAAGCUUUCCAAGUUUACUUGCCCCAAUUUUUUUCAUGAAUAAUUAGUGAAAUCAAUAGAGAAGCCUAGUAGCUAUCUUAGUUUCAUGAGAAGUGCAUCCAUUGUUAUCUUGGAGGAGAGAGAAAAUAAAAAUUAGGAUUUGACCAUAAGAAAUGAAGGUAAGUAUGAUAUGUUUUUCCAUGGAUUUCAUGUUAGUUUUAUUUAAAUAACAUAGAUAUGUUACUUGAUUAUAAUAUUGAUAAGUAAAACUUGUAUAUUUUUAUAUGGAAAUGAAGAAAAAGAGAAAUGAACAACAAGUUGGGGACAAAGGCAAAGAGAUAGCCAAAGAGUAGAAGAAGAAGAAGAAAGCUUGAUUCCAAGUCUUUGGUUGUAAGUAUAACUAGAAUUUUUCUUAGCUUAAAUAAUUUUAAUUAGUAAGUUUAAUUAGAUGUUUAAAUGUUUACAUGAUUUUUAUUAUUAACUAUUAUGCUAUACAUAAAUAAGAAGUUGAUUAAGAAUGAUGGAAUUAAUUAUUUAAUUCCAUUUACUAAGUGAUUUGUUAUAAUGAAAUGAAGAAUAGUGAGGAAAAAGGCUAAAUUGUAAAAAAUAUAAAAGUUGAUAGAAAAGAUAAAUAUUAUGAUUGAAUGUAUAAAUGAAGUGAUAUGCAUAUAUGCAUAUAUAUACACAUUUUUUAAUGAUGUAUGGAAAGAUAUUGAAAUGCUAUGACAAUGAUUGUUGAGCUUUAAAACAAUAGGGGCUAAGUUGUAAAGUAUGUAAGUUUAAUUUUGAAAUGUAAAGGUGAAUAUGAUUCUGUUAUAUUUGCCCAUGUAGACAAGAUAUGAACUAGUAGGAUAGAUGGCAUGCCUUUAGGAAGCAUUCAGUGCACUCCUUAUUCUGCGAUUGCACUUCGGUGCCACUCUGUUCUAAUUAAACACUUUAGUGUUAUUCUAUUCUGACAUUGCACUUCGGUGCUAUUCUUUUCUAUUACUGCACUUUGGUGCAUCUCUAUAUUACUUCCGCAUAUCUUGCAUAUUCUUUUAAGUCUACAUGGAGCGUCCAAUAAAUUCUAAAAGAUAAAAUAAAGUUACGAAUAUUGUGACAAGAUUAAGUAGAAUGAUAGUGAAUCCAAGUAUAAUAAAUUAAAUAUAGUAUAGAAAUUCUAUUGCUAAUAAGUUCUAAACUUAUUUAUUACAACAUUUUUGUAUUUUUUUACCUUUAAUUAAUGAAAAUGUAAGUUUAAUUCUCGUUGUACUUACUAAGCUUUCACAAGCUUACUGCAUUAUUUUUAAUGCGUAGGUAAAGGCGUGAAGUGAGGUUUUGUGGAGGAUCAAAUUCUUCACAUCUCAUCACAUCCCAAGAGCUUGGAGAAGAGUAUGUUAUCUCCACUAUUCUGUUAUAUGUCAUGUACCUAGGUGAAUGUUUGUGUAAUUAAACAAGGAACUAAUUGAUUCCCCAAACUUGUGUUUGAUGUGUUUUGAUGAGUAAAUAUAAGGAAUUAUUUGGUAUAUGAGUUAUGUUUUAUGGUUGGAAUGAUUAUGAAUGAUUAUG
rnacentral:lncRNA from 1 species